GGAGAGGUGGCCGAGUGGUUGAUGGCGGCGGUCCUGAAAACCGCAGGGCGAAAGCCCCGGGGGUUCGAAUCCCUCCCUCUCCG
rnacentral:tRNA from 1 species